GGUCCGAUCCGACCAGAGCGCUGCUUCCUGCGGUCUGCCCCCCUCACCUGGCCGCCUCGUUAUAAAGCCUUGGGGCGGGGCCUCCAGGACCAGGCAACAGGACGCCUCGCUGCGGUCCAGCUGGGUCCGAGCAGAACCAGGGACAGCGGCGCCGACCCACCGGGUCAGAGGUCAGGUAAACAGUCACAUCAUCAGACCAACAGGAAGAGCAGGCUGAGGAACGCCGAGCGUGCAGGAUGAACAACAUUCCCAGCAGGAACGCCGUGGACUCUGGAAACACUCAGAACAUCGGAGCGCUCAGACUAGCAGAACUCUUAAUCUGUGAUCAAUACGGAUUAUUGGUGCAAUAAACUCUAAUAUCUGAA